CCUGGCCCUCCCGACAGCACCAGAAACGCCGCUCCGUUUACCCACAUUGCCCCUAUUUAAAAACAAAACAAAAAGCCCCACUCCACCAUCAGCCCUUCAGCAUCCAAGACACCAGGGAAGGACAGACAGUGGUGGGAGGACGCUCCAUAUGCCAGCGGUGUGAGCACUUCACAUAUUGCCCUUCGUUUUACUGAAGAUGAAGAGGGGCAGAAACUCCAAGCACACAAAAUGGAACUAGAAACGGACCCCACCUUGAAGACAUGUACAACCAGGAUAACAGCCUGCCAGGAGGCGGAACCAGGAAAAACGGAGUCUGGACAGAGUCAUCCAUGGGGCACACUGAAAACAGCCCCCAGAUGAGGGCUCUGCACAAACCUGGAGUCAACUCUCUAAUGCAUCUGCACCUAAGAAGUCCUCAAUACCACUGGGUGAAGUUUCCUAGACAUUAUUUGGAAGGCCAAGCUCCUUGGUGACAGUUCACUCACUAUAUACUGAAAUAUUUUAGAAGGUUCUAUUGUAAACCCAGAGCCAAAAACCUUUUUCCUGGAACACCUGGGUGGCUCAGCGGUUGAGCGUCUGCCUUUCGCUCAGGGUGUGAUCCCAGGGUCCUGGGAUCAAGUCCCGCAUCAGGCACCCUGCAUGGAGCCUGCUUCUCCCUCUGCCUGUGUCUCUGCCCCCCUCUUUCUCUCUCUCUCAUGAAUGAAUAAAUAAAAUCUUUACAAAAAAAAUAAAAAACUU
rnacentral:lncRNA from 1 species